rnacentral:pre_miRNA from 1 species
UCUUAUAGAUGAGCAAUAAAAGUGGUUUCUUGAGAUGGAGUUUACCCCUGGUGAAGGUGCUAUGAA